rnacentral:rRNA from 1 species
GAUGAACGCUAGCGGCAGGCUUAAUACAUGCAAGUCGAGGGGUAGCAAGAUUGUAGCAAUACAAUUGUUGACGACCGGCAAACGGGUGCGGAACACGUACACAACCUUCCUACAAGUGGGGAAUAGCCCAGAGAAAUUUGGAUUAAUACCCCGUAACAUAGCGAUGUGGCAUCACAUUGCUAUUAUAGCUUCGGCGCUUGUUGAUGGGUGUGCGGCUGAUUAGGUAGUUGGCGGGGUAACGGCCCACCAAGCCUGCGAUCAGUAACUGGUGUGAGAGCACGACCAGUCACACGGGCACUGAGACACGGGCCCGACUCCUACGGGAGGCAGCAGUAAGGAAUAUUGAUCAAUGGACGAAAGUCUGAACCAGCCAUGCCGCGUGAAGGAUGAAGGUCCUCUGGAUUGUAAACUUCUUUUAUAGGGGACGAAAAAAGGGAAUUCUUUCUCACUUGACGGUACCCUAGGAAUAAGCACCGGCUAACUCCGUGCCAGCAGCCGACGG